rnacentral:rRNA from 1 species
UGCCUCAGUAACGGCGAGUGAAGCGGCAACAGCUCAAAUUUGAAAUCCGGCCUCUCGCGGGGCCCGAGUUGUAAUUUGCAGAGGGUGCUUCGGGGGCGGCGCCGGUCUAAGUUCCUUGGAACAGGACGUCAGAGAGGGUGAGAAUCCCGUACGCGGCCGGCCGCCCACCCCGGGUGAAGCCCCUUCGACGAGUCGAGUUGUUUGGGAAUGCAGCUCUAAACGGGUGGUAAAUUUCAUCUAAAGCUAAAUACCGGCCGGAGACCGAUAGCGCACAAGUAGAGUGAUCGAAAGAUGAAAAGCACUUUGGAAAGAGAGUCAAACAGCACGUGAAAUUGUGGAAAGGGAAGCGCUUGCCGCCAGACCUGCCCGCGGGCGUUCACCCGCCAUUCGUGGCGGGGCACUCGCCCGCGCACAGGCCAGCACGGGUUCGGGCGGCGGGAGAAAGGGCCCGGGAAUGUAGCUCCCCUCGGGGUGCCUUAUAGCCCGGGCCGCCAUGCCGCCCGCCCGGACCGAGGACCGCGCUCCGGCGAGGGUGCUGGCGUAAUGGCGGCAAGCGACCCGUCUUGAAACACGGACCAAGGAGUCUAACAUCCACGCGAGUGUUUGGGCGUCAAACCCCGGCGCGCAAUGAAAGUGAACGGGGGUGGGACCCCCGCGAGGGGCGCACCAUCGACCGAUCCAGAAGUCUUCGGAUGGAUUUGAGUACGAGCGUGGCCGUUGGGACCCGAAAGAUGGUGAACUAUGCCUGAAUAGGGUGAAGCCAGAGGAAACUCUGGUGGAGGCUCGCAGCGGUUCUGACGUGCAAAUCGAUCGUCAAAUUUGGGCAUAGGGGCGAAAGACUAAUCG